GGUUUAGAGGAUCUGUUAGGUUUUCUUAGAUGACAAAAGAUUGGGAGUGAAUUUACAGUUGGUUUUUUUGUGGUAAGAUUUAAGGGUGAUUUUUAUCCAUCCUAUAGAUUUGAAACAAACUAAAUGGCUAGAUCAAGAGUUAUGAAUUUCUAAAGUUCUUGAAGAGCAAAUCCUUUAUUAGAAAAAUAUGUUUUGAAGGGAUUUUGUUAUAUUUUGAGUUUUAUGCAAAUCAAAAGAGUUUUGGAAGCUAAGACAAGAUUCAUAU
rnacentral:lncRNA from 1 species